UAGCCGUAAACGAUACUCGCUAGGUGUCGGCCACGGUGCGACCGUUGUCGGUGCCGUAGGGAAGCCGUGAAGCGAGCCACCUGGGAAGUACGGCCGCAAGGCUGAAACUUAAAGGAAUUGGCGGGGGAGCACCACAAGAGGUGGAGGCUGCGGUUCAAUUGGACUCAACGCCGGGAAGCUCACCGGAUAAGACAGCGGAAUGAUUGCCGGGCUGAAGACUCUGCAUGACUAGCUGAGAGGAGGUGCAUGGCGUAGACGUCU
rnacentral:rRNA from 1 species